rnacentral:sRNA from 1 species
AGCUUGGAAUUCCAGGGCCCACACCUCUGCCUUUUUUGGGAAAUAUUUUGUCCUACCGUAAGGGCUUUUGUAUGUUUGACAUGGAAUGUCAUAAAAAGUAUGGAAAAGUGUGGGGCUUUUAUGAUGGUCGACAGCCUGUGCUGGCUAUCACAGAUCCUGACAUGAUCAAAACAGUGCUAGUGAAAGAAUGUUAUUCUGUCUUCACAAACCGGAGGCCUUUUGGUCCAGUGGGAUUUAUGAAAAGUGCCAUCUCUAUAGCUGAGGAUGAAGAAUGGAAGAGAAUACGAUCAUUGCUGUCUCCAACCUUCACCAGUGGAAAACUCAAGGAGAUGGUCCCUAUCAUUGCCCAGUAUGGAGAUGUGUUGGUGAGAAAUCUGAGGCGGGAAGCAGACACAGGCAAGCCUGUCACCUUGAAAGAGUAAGUAGAAGUGCAGCCAUGGGGUUCUGAGCUGUCAUGAACCCCUCCAGCUGCCUGCCAUGGAGCUGAUAUUCCUGCUGUUGGGUUAUUCCAGUGACCAGACAAAAGGAGGGCUGUGGUAAUGCAACUUCAAUGGGUCUCCCAAGAUGGGGCAGCUCCGAUGAGGAGGUGGGGCAGCUGGAGGAAAAGGAUCUUCUCCCCUGUGCACAGGGGCCAGGGUUUACAUAUCCAUU